rnacentral:rRNA from 1 species
AUGGAUGCGCGUGCGGCGAUGAGACGCUCGGUGCGCGUGGCGCCGCCGCCCCUGGCUUCUCGCGCCGCCGUUCUGCUGCUGCUGCUGCUGCUCUCGGCGCUGCCGCUCUCGCUGACCUACACUUACGAGCAAGACGUGUUCGCGAUAAAUGGCCUGUACACGGCGCUUGGAUCCCCGUCUUUGCCUGGAUGGGUUACGAAUGGCGGCGACCCUUGCGUCGAAAACUGGCAGGGCGUUGGAUGCGCGGCAUCGAAUAUCACCGCCAUAACUCUCAGUGGUAUAAGUUUGGGUGGACAGCUAGGGAAUACACUUGCGAAUUUCACAUCGAUAAUCACCUUAGAACUUAGCAACAACAAUAUUGGUGGAACCAUACCUGAUAAUCUACCGGUCACACUUCAGCGCUUUUUCCUCUCAGGAAACCAGCUAAGUGGGAGCCUUCCAAGUACAUUGUCGACGCUUACACUUUUGACAGACAUGUCCCUCAGCAGCAAUCGUUUGUCUGGGGACAUACCAGAUGUAUUUUCAGCACUCACUGGACUUAUAAAUUUAGAUUUUUCUUCCAACAACUUGACUGGCCCAUUACCGCCUUCGAUGGGAAACUUAAAAGCAUUGACUACCCUGCAUAUUCAAGACAAUCAAAUAUCUGGGACCCUGAAUGUCCUGCAAGAUCUCCCUCUGAAAGAUUUGAAUAUACAGAAUAAUCUUUUCUCUGGUCCUGUGCCAACGAAGUUAUUCAAUGUCCCAAACUUUCAGAGGGAUGGCAACCCAUUUAAUACUAGCAUAGCUCCAUCUCCACUGCCUGCUGCACCAGCACCAUCUCCAUCACUAUCACCUUCAACAGGGCAUGUCCCCUCAAAAGAACCUACAAAGUCGCCUGAUGUGACAAAUGGAAGUUCUCCAGCAUCAGGAAAACAUACUAUUUGGACAGUCAAGUUCGUUGGAUACAUUCUUGUUGGGGUGGUAUCAGCAGUGGUUAUUGUGUUAAUGGUAAUGUUUUGUGUAUCCAAGCACAAAGAAAGGAAGUCAAAGAAAGAUGUGCAUCCGAAAAGCAAGAUAGGAAGGGAACCUCAGAGGCUUGGAGAGCCUAAAAUCAAGGAAGUGCCGGAAAUAAAGGAACAUUUGGUAAAACCUACGAAUACUGUAGGGAAAGCUUCAAAUGUGGUUUCUAAUACAAGUGAGGAGCUGAAAGUCAAUGCAUCGAUGAAUGCUACUAAUGUUGCUUAUAACGCAAAGGAAAAGGAGGCUACAUUAUAUUCGCCGAUGAGAGCUAUUCCUGGGGUGAUCACGAAGAAACAAAAGGAGCAUGUUAUUGAUAUGGAAAAAUCUGAUGAUUUUGUGGAAGAACCACUGCGUCUUCCGCAGUCUGUUGCGCCGCGUACUGAAAAAGCCACUGUCAGUCCCAGUGUUCGUACUAAAAAGGGGAGAGUACCUUCACUCGGGAAGAUAGAUCUUAGAACUACUGUCAAGUCCUUCUCUGUUGCAUCCCUUCAACAAUAUACCAACAGUUUCAGUGAAGAAAAUUUGAUAAGAGAUAGCAGGUUUGGUAAAGUAUAUCUGGCGGAACUUCCUGAUGGAGAGAUUUUAGAAGUUUUGAAGAUUGACAUUGAUAACUCAAGAGUACCAGUUGAUGUCUUUCUAGAACUAGUUGUGAACAUUUCAGAACUAAGUCAUCCUAAUAUACUUGCGCUUGUGGGAUACUGUGCGGAGUUUGAGCAGCGGCUACUUGUCUACGAGCAUUGUAGUAAGAUGACUCUACAUGACGAACUCCAUUAUGUUGAUGAACCCAGCAACGCAUUGUCAUGGAAUGCUCGUCUCCAAGUUGCUGUGGAAGCAGCAAAGGCAUUACAAUAUCUUCAUGAUGGCCGUCAACCACCACUUGUACAUCAAAAUUUUGAACCAUCUGUUGUUCUCCUUAAUAGCACUUUGGCAGUCCAAAUUUCCGAGUGUGGACUUGCAUCGCUGUCUCAGUUAUCUGGCAGUUUGCAUGCCUUGUUCCAUUAUGAAGCCCCAGAAGUGCAUGAAUCCAGAUCAUUCAGUGAUCGAAGCGACGUUUACAGCUUUGGCGUCGUUAUGUUGGAACUUCUAACAGGACGUGAACCUUAUGACAGUUCCCGUCCACGUGCUGAGCAACAUCUGGUGCGAUGGGCCUCUACUCAGCUUUAUGAUAUUGAUGCCAUAUCAAAGAUGGUAGAUCCUUUGAUUAGAGGACAAUGUUCUGAAAAGGCUUUGUCGCGUUUCGCUGAUGUCAUUGGCAGCUGUAUUCAGCCUGAGCCAGAAUUCAGGCCACCAAUGUCCGAAGUUGUCCAAGCCCUAACUCGUAUGGUCAGCGACGCGGCAAAGGCUUCCAUGUAA